UCUGAAUGAUGAUUUGCUUUUGGUCCGUGUUUAUGAUCGACAGUGAUUUUAAAUCAAAAGCUCUGACAAG